ACGAACGCUGGCGGCGUGCUUAACACAUGCAAGUCGAGCGGUAAGGCUCCUUCGGGAGUACACGAGCGGCGAACGGGUGAGUAACACGUGAGUAAUCUGCCCUUCACUUCGGGAUAACCACCGGAAACGGUGGCUAAUACCGAAUACGACCAGUCUUCGCAUGAGGUGCUGGUGGAAAGUCUUUUCGGUGAAGGAUGUGCUCGCGGCCUAUCAGCUUGUUGGUGGGGUAAUGGCCUACCAAGGCUUCGACGGGUAGCCGGCCUGAGAGGGUGACCGGCCACACUGGGACUGAGACACGGCCCAGACUCCUACGGGAGGCAGCAGUGGGGAAUAUUGGACAAUGGGCGAAAGCCUGAUCCAGCAACGCCGCGUGAGGGAUGACGGCCUUCGGGUUGUAAACCUCUUUCAGUACCGACGAAGAGCCCUGUCGGGUGGUGACGGUAGGUACAGAAGAAGGACCGGCCAACUACGUG
rnacentral:rRNA from 1 species